UCGAAGGUAGCAUAAUCAGUAGUCUUUUAAUUGAAGGCUGGUAUGAAUGGUUGGACGAAGUAUUAACUGUUUCAAAAUAAAUUAAAAUAAAAUUUUAUUUUUUAGUAAAAAAGCUAAAAUUUAUUUAAAAGACGAGAAGACCCUAUAAAUCUUUAUAUAAUUAUAUGUUAUAAUUUUUUAGAUUUAUUUUAUUAUAAUAAUUAAUUAUAUUUUAUUGGGGUGAUAUUAAAAUUUAUUAAACUUUUAAUUAUUAAAAUCAUUAAUUUUUGAUUAAUUGAUCCGUUAUUAACGAUUAAAAAAUUAAGUUACUUUAGGGAUAACAGCGUAAUUUUUUUGGAGAGUUCAUAUCGAUAAAAAAGAUUGCGACCUCG
rnacentral:rRNA from 1 species